rnacentral:rRNA from 1 species
AUUGAACGCUGGCGGCAGGCCUAACACAUGCAAGUCGAGCGGAUGACGGGAGCUUGCUCCUUGAUUCAGCGGCGGACGGGUGAGUAAUGCCUAGGAAUCUGCCUGGUAGUGGGGGACAACGUUUCGAAAGGAACGCUAAUACCGCAUACGUCCUACGGGAGAAAGCAGGGGACCUUCGGGCCUUGCGCUAUCAGAUGAGCCUAGGUCGGAUUAGCUAGUAGGUGAGAUAAUGGCUCACCUAGGCGACGAUCCGUAACUGGUCUGAGAGGAUGAUCAGUCAAACUGGAACUGAGACACGGUCCAGACUCCUACGGGAGGCAGCAGUGGGGAAUAUUGGACAAUGGGCGAAAGCCUGAUCCAGCCAUGCCGCGUGUGUGAAGAAGGUCUUCGGAUUGUAAAGCACUUUAAGUUGGGAGGAAGGGCAGUAAGCUAAUACCUUGCUGUUUUGACGUUACCGACAGAAUAAGCACCGGCUAACUCUGUGCCAGCCGCCGCGGUAAGAC